UGGGGAAUAUUGGACAAUGGGGGCAACCCUGAUCCAGCGACGCCGCGUGUGUGAAGAAGGCCUGCGGGUUGUAAAGCACUUUUAGUGGGGAUGAAAAGUACAGGGCUAACACCUCUGUAUCUUGACCUAACCCACAGAAAAAGCACCGGCUAACUCUGUGCCAGCAGCCGCGGUAAUACAGAGGGUGCAAGCGUUAAUCGGAAUUACUGGGCGUAAAGCGUGCGUAGACGGUAGCGUAAGUCGGGUGUGAAAGCCCCGGGCUCAACCUGGGAAUUGCAUUCGAGACUGUGUAGCUAGGGUACGGAAGAGGGAAGCGGAAUUUCAGGUGUAGCGGUGAAAUGCGUAGAUAUCUGAAGGAACACCAGUGGCGAAAGCGGCUUCCUGGUCCAGUACCGACGUUCAGGCACGAAAGCGUGGGGAGCAAACA
rnacentral:rRNA from 1 species